AUACGGAGGGAGCAAGCGUUAUUCGGAAUCACUGGGCGUAAAGGACGCGUAGGCGGGUUUGUAAGUCAGGUGUGAAAUCCUACAGCUCAACUGUAGAACUGCACUUGAAACUACAGACCUAGAGUAUGGAAGGGGCAGAUGGAAUUAGUGGUGUAGGGGUAAAAUCCGUAGAUAUCACUAGGAAUACCGAAAGCGAAGGCGAUCUGCUGGGACAUUACUGACGCUGAGGCGUGAAAGCGUGGGGAGCAAACAGUAUUAGAUACCCCGGUAGUCC
rnacentral:rRNA from 1 species